GCCUGUGUAGCUCAGUUGGUUAGAGCGCUGCACCGGAAUCGCAGGAUCGAUUCUUGCCAGAGGGCA